rnacentral:rRNA from 1 species
UACGUAGGCAGCGAGCGUUGUUCGGAGUUACUGGGCGUAAAGAGUGCGUAGGCGGUUUUCUAAGUUUGGUGUGAAAUCUCCCGGCUCAACUGGGAGGGUGCGCCGAAGACUGGAAGGCUUGAGUAUGGGAGAGGUAAGCGGAAUUCCUGGUGUAGCGGUGAAGUGCGUAGAUAUCAGGAGGAACACCUGCGGUGUAGACGGCUUACUGGACCAUAACUGACGCUGAGGCACGAAAGCGUGGGUAGCAAACAGG